rnacentral:lncRNA from 1 species
GCCUGUUGAUGGAGUCAAAGUCGCCAACCACCACUGCCAAGGACAACUCCCUCUCCCAUCUUCACCAGCGCCAACUGCUCCAACCUCUACUCCAGCCCUACCAUCACACUAUUCACUAAAUCAGAGUCCAGAUCACUACUUCAGCUUGCACCUACCGUCAACCUCACACCCAAAACCCCAGUCAACCCGAACAUCAUCAUAACCAAAUCCACUACCAGCAACCUCAGUAAAAAAAAAAACACACCAGAUCGCAAGUAAAAAGGAGGAGGGAGAGCAAAUAC